rnacentral:rRNA from 1 species
UGCCAUGGCCAAGUGCUGUUUCAUAAGACUGAACGGGUGUCCGUUGCAAGGGGCUCCGAUGAGCUGUGGCAAGGGGUGAAAGGCCAAUCUAACCUGGAGAUUAGCUGGUCUUCCGCGAAACCCGUUUUAGCGGGUCGCCCAUCAUUGUAACUAUCUAACGAAACCCGAUUCGUUAACCGACCUUACCUUUGGCCUUCCCUUUUGUCGCCCCACACGGUACUACGUACCUACGGGGUCUGAAAAAAGGCAAAGGAAGUUCAAGCUAAUUCGUUACUAGACGGUACGGCACUGGAAGCCACGCAGCUUUGCUGCAUAAUCGGGGGGCUGUCAUGGCUCUAUCGAUGGCUUCUAACCCCGGAAAUGUAUAGUAUACAAAGGUGGGCAAUCAGACGUAUCGUGAUAAGGCGAUUCGUCAAAAGGGCAACAGCCCAGAACAGGCGCUAAGGUCCCUAAGAACUACUGAGUGAACACAAGGCAGUCCUCUCCAGUGUCUCUCCACCAAGUGGGCUUGGAAGCAGCCACCUUUUAGCGAAAGCGUAACAGCUCAGUGGUUUGAGCUCCCCUGCCAUUUCGGCAUUUCUCUUCUAGCCCCUCCCCCCCCUCGGCCCAAGUACUGAGGGGGGCGGCGACCGCCGAAGGCGAACCUUCGCUUGUAAGGCAACAAACACGGGGCCUAUCUUUUUAGGUAUCUGAUUCUAGGUUACGAGGUGGCGUGGCAGCCGGCACAGGCGCAGAGCUCCUCCGCCUGCCUCACCGAAACCCUGUCCUAGGCGCGGGGUAGCGGAAUACCCAGCAAAUGGAAUGAAGGUGGCUCAUCGAGCCGGUGGACAUAGCUGGGCUGAGAAUGCUGACAUGAGUAGCCUCAAAAGAGGGGUAUUCCCUCUUCGCCGGAAGCAGAAGGGUUUCAUAUGUUAGGUCCAUACCAGCAUGAGUAAAGCAGCGGCCUCUAAGGCAGCUUAGGGUGGCGGAGUGCCGAUGAGUAACUCUUCUGUAGGGCAGUAACCUUCCUUACAAGUAUACCUGGGUCUGCCUGACCCGACCUGAUCCCCGCCUUCGGCCCCUCGGUCCUCAACGAGGGCAUCGUACCUCGGCCGAGGGCCAGGACUAGGGGCCACCCUGUGGUCCUACGGCCACCCCGGCCUGAGGACCAAGGGCCCUCAGUCCUUGGGCCGAGGGGGGGGCCCCUCUUUUGGCCUUGGACCCCGGCCAAAGUACCAGGUAAUCAGAGGUAUACUUCAUGGGAAAAAGGUUCGGGAAAGAGCUCUACGGAAACCCCUGACCCUUGGCCCAGACGCCGCCUCCGGCCCAAGGACGGGGCGCCCUUGGGCCGAGGGGGGCGGCAAACGUCGAGCUUAGCAGGAACUACAGCGGAACGGAGCAGGGGGAGACGUCUGGAAAAGUACAGCCAACCGUACCCUAAACCGACACUGGUCUGCUGGUAGAGCAUACCAAGGCGUAGAGGUAAUCGUCUUGAAGGAACUCGGCAAGAUGACCCCGUAACUUCGGGA